CUUUUAUGGAGAGUUUGAUCCUGGCUCAGGA
rnacentral:rRNA from 1 species